rnacentral:rRNA from 1 species
GAUGAACGCUGGCGGCGUGCCUAAUACAUGCAAGUCGAGCGAACGGACGAGAAGCUUGCUUCUCUGAUGUUAGCGGCGGACGGGUGAGUAACACGUGGAUAACCUACCUAUAAGACUGGGAUAACUUCGGGAAACCGGAGCUAAUACCGGAUGAUAUUUUGAACCGCAUGGUUCAAAAGUGAAAGACGGUCUUGCUGUCACUUAUAGAUGGAUCCGCGCUGCAUUAGCUAGUUGGUAAGGUAACGGCUUACCAAGGCAACGAUGCAUAGCCGACCUGAGAGGGUGAUCGGCCACACUGGAACUGAGACACGGUCCAGACUCCUACGGGAGGCAGCAGUAGGGGAUCUUCCGCAAUGGGCGAAAGCCUGACGGAGCAACGCCGCGUGAGUGAUGAAGGUCUUCGGAUCGUAAAACUCUGUUAUUAGGGAAGAACAUAUGUGUAGGUAACUGUGCACAUCUUGACGGUACCUAAUCAGAAAGCCACGGCUAACUACGUG